UUUCGCAAUGCCCGAAAGGGUGACGAAGCGACGCCGCGUGCGGGAAGAAGGCCUUCGGGUUGUAAACCGCUGUCGGGAGUUAAGAAAUGCAAGGGUGUUAACAGCGUCCUUGCUUGACUAAGGCUCCGGAGGAAGCCACGGCUAACUCUGUGCCAGCAGCCGCGGUAAUACAGAGGCGGCAAGCGUUGUUCGGAAUUAUUGGGCGUAAAGAGCACGUAGGCGGCUGUGUAAGUCGGUUGUGAAAGCCUUCCGCUCAACGGGAGAACGGCAUCCGAUACUGCAUGGCUUGAGUGCGGGAGGGGAGAGUGGAACUUCUGGUGGAGCGGUGAAAUGCGUAGAUAUCAGAAGGAACACCGGCGGCGAAGGCGACUCUCUGGCCCGUAACUGACGCUGAGUGUGCGAAAGCUAGGGGAGCAAACGGGAUUAGAUACCCCGGUAGUCCUAGCCGUAAACGAUGGGCACUAAGUAGAGGGGUUUU
rnacentral:rRNA from 1 species